UACGUAGGGUCCAAGCGUUAAUCGGAAUUACUGGGCGUAGAGCGUGCGUAGGCGGUUUCGCAAGUCCGAUGUGAAAUCCCCGGGCUUAACCUGGGAAUGGCCAUGGAAACUGGCGAACUGGAGUGUGGCAGAGGGGGGUGGAAUUCCGCGUGUAGCAGUGAAAUGCGUAGAGAUGCGGAGGAACACCGAUGGCGAAGGCAGCCCCCUGGGCUAGCACUGACGCUCAGGCACGAAAGCGUGGGGAGCAAACAGG
rnacentral:rRNA from 1 species